rnacentral:rRNA from 1 species
ACUAGACCGGUCCUAAGGUAGCGAAAUUCCUUGUCGGGUAAGUUCCGACCCGCACGAAAGGCGUAACGAUUUGGGCACUGUCUCAACAACAGACUCGGUGAAAUUGUAAUUCCGGUGAAGAUGCCGGAGACCUGCGACAGGACGGAAAGACCCCAUGGAGCUUUACUGUAGCUUGACAUUGGGUCUUGGUACUACAUGUACAGGAUAGGUGGGAGGCUUUGAAACCAGGACGCCAGUUUUGGCGGAGCCAUCCUUG